UAGAUAAUUCAUAUAUUAUAUAUUUACAUUAUCUACUUAUUAUUUAUUGAUAAUUCAUAUAUUAUAUAUUUAAUGCUUAAUGUUUAUUUCCACUUCAUGACUUUUUAUUUACUUAAUAUCUCUAUUUUACAUUUUAAGAUAGAUGUUUAAAUCUUAAUGUACGUUUUCCUUUUUUUUUUUAAAUUGUAUAUUUCCAUUUGUUAUACUUUCUAUUUACGUAAUAUCUAUAUUUUAAAUUUUAAGAUAUAUUUUUAAAUCUUAAUGUAAUUUUCCGUUUUUUAAAUUGGGUAUUUACUUAUAUUAUAUAU
rnacentral:lncRNA from 1 species